UACGGAGGAUGCAAGCGUUAUCCGGAAUGAUUGGGCGUAAAGCGUCCGCAGGUGGCUGUGUAAGUCUGCUGUCAAAGAGCAAAGCUCAACUUUGUAAAGGCAGUGGAAACUACACGGCUAGAGUGCGUUCGGGGCAGAGGGAAUUCCUGGUGUAGCGGUGAAAUGCGUAGAGAUCAGGAAGAACACCGGUGGCGAAGGCGGGUUGCUGGGGCUGACACUGACGCUGGAGGCGCGAAAGCUAGGGGAGCGAACAGG
rnacentral:rRNA from 1 species